CCUAACACAUGCAAGUCGUACGAGAAAGUUGGCUUCGGCCGAUGAGUAAAGUGGCGCACGGGUGAGUAACGCGUGGAUAAUCUACCCCUCAGUUGGGAAUAACUCAUCGAAAGGUGGGCUAAUACCGAAUAAUACUGCAUGACUUCUGUUGUGUAGUCAAAGAUGGCCUCUGCUUGCAAGCUAUCGCUGAAGGAUGAGUCCGCGUACCAUUAGCUAGUUGGUAGGGUAAUGGCCUACCAAGGCAACGAUGGUUAGCUGGUCUGAGAGGAUGAUCAGCCACACUGGAACUGAGACACGGUCCAGACUCCUACGGGAGGCAGCAGUGAGGAAUAUUGCGCAAUGGGGGCAACCCUGACGCAGCAACGCCGCGUGAGUGAGGAAGGUUUUCGGACCGUAAAGCUCUGUCGAGCGGGAAGAAAUGCAUAGUGGCUAAUAUCCAUUAUGCUUGACGGUACCGCUAAAGGAAGCACCGGCUAACUCCGUG
rnacentral:rRNA from 1 species